UUUCUUUAAUUUUACUAUCAAUAUUUUUAAUAAUUUUUUAAAAUUCUUUGAAAGCUAUCUAGAACUUAUUUAGCGAAUAAAUUACUAUACAGUGUAGAGCUACUGUGCUAUCAGAAGUAUAGAGAAUUUGAUACUUUCGAUUUUUUAACCCUUCGAUUAAGAAUUGUAUGGUUGAGAUGAUUGCGGUCCAUUCUAAAAUUGAGUAGUACCCCUAGGGUUGAGUGGUCUCCACAGGAUUAUCGUAUUAAUAAUGCAAAGGUUAAAAAUAAUUAAAGGGGCUGAUCUAAGGGCCAAAAAGUAGGAAGCGUCAGAUCCUCUGUACUUCCGAUAACAUAGUAGCUCUACUCUUACUCUCUCUCUCUCUCUAUAUAUAUAUUGUAAAAAGCUAAUAUUAAAAAAUAAAAAUAUAAAAAUAUAAAAAAAAUUGGGUCGA
rnacentral:lncRNA from 1 species